UAUACUAUGUAUAAAAAAUAAAAAAAAUCAAAUAGCAGUAACGUGGCUAGUCUUAUUUCGGGGCCCUGGCUACUUGAGCAAGUAUGCCCGAGGGGAUUGUCUCUACACCUAGCGCCCUAAGGUCUUUCAUGGUCUGGGAGUCGUUGGUUGAAAGCUCGCUAAGGGGUAGCAGUGUUGCCUAAUGGAAUAAGGCAUUGCACAGUCAUGUGUAAAAGAAAAAGAAAAUAAAAAUAGCAAUAAAC
rnacentral:lncRNA from 1 species